rnacentral:rRNA from 1 species
CCUACGGGUGGCAGCAGUGCGGAAUAUUGGUCAAUGGGCGCGAGCCUGACCCAGCCAAGUCGCGUGAAUGAUGACUGCCCUACGGGUUGUAAACUUCUUUUAUAAAGGAAUACAGUGAGGCACGUGUUCCUUUUUGUAUGUACUUUAUGAAUAAGGAUCGGCUAACUCCGUGCCAUCAGCCGCGGUAAUACGGAGGAUCCGCGCGUUAUCCGGAUUUAUUGGGUUUAAAGGGAGCGUAUAUGGGUUGUUAAGUCAUUUGUGAAAGUUUGCGGCUCAACCGUAAAAUUGCAAUUGAUACUGGCAGCCGUGAGUACAGUUGAGGUAGGCGGAAUGCGUGGUGUAGCGGUGAAAUGCUUAGAUAUCACGAAGAACUCCGAUUGCGAAGGCAGCUUACUAAACUGCCACUGACAUUGAUGCUCGAAAGUGUGGGUAUCAAACAGGAUUAGAGACCCGAGUAGUC